GCUAUCCAAAGACGGGAACAAAAUUGCACUAAAACACAACCACUGGAUUAGAUGUCGGUUAAUGUAUAUACCGACGUCUAUAGUACCUUUUAGACGUCGGUUAUUGUUCAGACUGACGUCUAUAUAAUGACCUUAGACGUCCAGUUAGUCCUACAACCGACGUCCAGUUAGUCUUACUCCCGACGUCCAGUUAGUCCUACUCCCGACGUCCAGUUAGUCUUA
rnacentral:lncRNA from 1 species